GCCCCCAUAGCUCAGAGGCCAGAGCAGCGCUCUUGUAAAGCGAAGGUCAUCGGUUCGACUCCGAUUGGGGGCU
rnacentral:tRNA from 2 species